UUUAAGUUAAUAGUGUACUGGUUAUAACUAAUAUCAAAUCUUUACUAAUACUUGAUUUCUUUUUAUGAUGGUUGACUUUGCGAGAACUAACGGAGCAUUAGUGUCAAGAAUGGGCUGAGAUUCGAAUUCAGUCGGUUUUUCGCUCUUUUUUGACAAAAAGGGAUCAAGAUCGGGACCGUCCAUUUGACUUCACACGGAUCACCAUCUGCUUUCUCUCUCAAUGCUCACACAUCUGACAAAAAGGGAUGCCAAAAGCAGGGAAGUACAAUCUACAGGAAAAAGCAACACUUUACUUUUGUGUGAAAGACAGCUUGCUUGCUGCAGUCUCUAUAAUAUAUCAACACUCUUCCAUACACUGUUUGAAAGACAGCACUGCUUCCUUCAGUCUCUAUAAAUAAUCCAGAGAUAUCUACACUCUACUCACACUUUACAAACUCUCAACUACACUCAACUGAAAUUAAUAUAUCAACUCUUUGCAUUCGGAUCUUGCGUUGUUUCUCGGCUCUCACAUCAAGGUUUUAAAAUUUUUGUCGGCUUUUCACAUCUCCCUCUUGCAUUGUUGUAAGUUCUUUCAAAUAUGACAUAGUGAAAGGAUAAAUUGUUUUUGUAGUUUUGAUUUUACUUUGUUCUGUUAUAUUUUGAUCUUUUCCUUCA